UGGGGAAUAUUGGACAAUGGGCGCAAGCCUGAUCCAGCCAUGCCGCGUGUGUGAAGAAGGCCUUUUGGUUGUAAAGCACUUUAAGCGAGGAGGAGGCUACUUGGAUUAAUACUCUAGGAUAGUGGACGUUACUCGCAGAAUAAGCACCGGCUAACUCUGUGCCAGCAGCCGCGGUAAUACAGAGGGUGCGAGCGUUAAUCGGAUUUACUGGGCGUAAAGCGUGCGUAGGCGGCUUUUUAAGUCGGAUGUGAAAUCCCUGAGCUUAACUUAGGAAUUGCAGUCGAUACUGGGAAGCUAGAGUAUGGGAGAGGAUGGUAGAAUUCCAGGUGUAGCGGUGAAAUGCGUUGAGAUCUGGAGGAAUACCGAUGGCGAAGGCAGCCAUCUGGCCUAAUACUGACGCUGAGGUACGAAAGCAUGGGGAGCAAACAGG
rnacentral:rRNA from 1 species